UCAUUAAAAUAGAAAGACUAAAUAGUAAUUUCUCUUUUUAAUAUCAUGUGGCGCGUGCUUCUCAAUUUCCUGUUUUCUGACAAUUGUGGGACAAAUUUGAAUUUUAAUUGAAAGUUAUGGGUUAAUCGGGCUGACAAGGUCAAUUUGGGCAUAAUUGGAUAUUGUGAAAAAGAACAAGGGCAUAUUUGACCUUUCUUCCUGUUUUUAAUUGUUCUAAGAGGUUUGAAUUCCAACCACUGUUGUGAAGCUUGGUAAAUGGAG
rnacentral:misc_RNA from 1 species